UUCCCUUUGUCAUCCUAUGCCUGGUGUUUGAUGGGGCUGGGACGAUAAGGGGGUGU
rnacentral:pre_miRNA from 1 species